rnacentral:lncRNA from 1 species
AGUGRCAGUUCCAAGGAGUUGCUGUAGACUUUUCCGGUCAGAGAUGAUAWAACUGGAAAAUGUUUUCAUGAAAACACAAAACUUCAGAUGUGUAUCUCAAGGARGAGACCUCAUUUCUGUUUUUCCAUAUUUUUUUCUGCGAAGUUAACAUUUUUUGUUGAGAAUAAUUCUCAAAUGUCGUUUGAAACAUUUUGCUUACAAGCACAUGCUUUUUUUUUCCAGCUGGCUUUUCUCUAAGUGACGCUGAUGUUGCUGAUAAUUUUUGAAAUGCAGAGGGAGAAGGGACAUUUUGCACAAAGUGUCAUUCUGGGAAAGGCUAUUUUUCACUGCACAAAACAUUUUGUCAUGUAAACUAUUUAAAACAGCUCAAUGUCAGGAUACCCUCUAACUUCCCCAGAAACUAUCUGGGCCUCCACUGAGCUUCUCCAACUGUCCUGAAGGCCAUCAGAACGUUUUGCCUGACAACGUUUCCUAGCAGGUUGGUCCUUCCACCCGRUGAAGGACCCAUACUGUCGACAAAACUGUCUGUCAGCCUCCCCUGGGGGCAAGACCCCAUGGCUUGUGGGUYGCUAAUCUGUCUUCCACUCACUUCGUCCUCUGCCUCCUUCUCCCCAUAAAUCUCAAGGACUCGAGGCACUCUUGACGACUGGUCUGGAAGCUAAUGAGGAGUGCACUUGACCUUUGCUGACGCCGCAAUUAGAGAUUACCGGUGAAUGCUGGGGAAGCAGAGAAAGCUCUUUUUGGCUUCCUCUKCCCGGCGUGUUUGAAAAGCUUUCUUCCUGAUCUCUCACGGUGGAAAUGAGAGAAGGGCAGGCUCUACACCCUCCUGACCUCCUCCUCUCGCAAGGCAGCACGUGCUCUAAGAGUGGUCUGCCCGCCUUGCAGAUCGUGCCAGCAGAAGGAGCUCCUAGGUGUUUUGUGGCAGGAUUUGGCUGCUCAAAGGGCCUGGAUCGCCGCCUGGUCCCCCUGGAUGUACGGCACUUGGUUGAACGCCUCUCCACCAGCAGCCAAGGACUGGAUUUUGAAGCGCUGCUGCUUUCUGAAGGAUACUUGCGGGGUCAGCUGGAAGGACACUAAGAGCAAUGSCAGACACCCAAAUUGCUUUUCACACUGAUUUUCCAACAGCCCAAAUAGUCCGUGAAACAGGACACCUGCUUCCYGCCCAGCUCUAUCUAGGAGCAUGCUUUAGCACAACUGUUCCACCUUUGGGCCUGAGUUCUCACCUUCCUCUUUUUAUUCCUUGAAAGGCUUAACAAUUAACCAACUAAUUUGAUCUGUAUUGUGCUAGAUCCAGAAAACACCCUGACAAAAUCCAUGAGCAUCUUGAGCAUCUUCAGGCAUUUGAACUGAAUAUUCACCCACRUAAUAGCUGAGAUAGGCCACCAGUAAGCAUAUGGAAGAACAUGGAAGAAUUCAUUCAUUGUAGGACAUCUCAAGCAGCCAGAAUACUUUAUCCACAUGUAUAUCUCUUCACAAAUGGUCCUGGU